rnacentral:rRNA from 1 species
UAGGGAAUCUUCCGCAAUGGGCGAAAGCCUGACGGAGCAACGCCGCGUGAGUGAUGAAGGUCUUCGGAUCGUAAAACUCUGUUAUUAGGGAAGAACAAAUGUGUAAGUAACUAUGCACGUCUUGACGGUACCUAAUCAGAAAGCCACGGCUAACUACGUGCCAGCAGCCGCGGUAAUACGUAGGUGGCAAGCGUUAUCCGGAAUUAUUGGGCGUAAAGCGCGCGUAGGCGGUUUUUUAAGUCUGAUGUGAAAGCCCACGGCUCAACCGUGGAGGGUCAUUGGAAACUGGAAGACUUGAGUGCAGAAGAGGAAAGGGGAAUUCCAUGUGUGGCGGUGAAAUGCGCAGAGAUAUGGAGGAACACCAGUGGCGAAGGCGACUUUCUGGUCUGUAACUGACGCUGAUGUGCGAAAGCGGGGGGAUCAAACAGG